AAUGGCUUUGCUGAGCAAAAGGAAAUCCAGUCCUGGCAGGUGGGACACAGAACGAAGUAUAACUCCAGGUGGAUGAGACCCCACUGGCAUGAACGAGAUAGGAAAAUUUAGGAACAGCACCUUGCAUCCCUCCAAGAAGGCAGUUCUCUGUUGCCACGGCAGCCCAACCUAAGCCCAGUUUAAAGAUGAAGGGCCUUCAAGUUGCCCAUGGAGCGAUGUGGGCAGCAGACAGAAUGGGAAGGCAUACAGAUCAGCCAUCAACAAGCUUCUCCGUGAUGAUGAGAUGGACCGUUCUUCUAUUUAAAGUCGUGCCCAGCAGAGAAUGUGUCAAAAGCACCUCACACGCACAAUAGUGGGGAGUGGCUUUGAGGACAGAUGGACAGCCUGUGCCAGGGUCCAGAUUGUUCAGCGGCUCCAUCUGCUUGCCAGAACCAGAACUCAAGUUCCCAUGGGGAGAAGAAAAUGGCUGCUCUGUCAGUCGAAGAGGUGGAAUAUCGUGAGUGGCAGCCAGGCCCUGUGCUCAGCUCUGCAUUAACAGUAUUCUCGGUAUCGCCCAGUAUUCCCCAGCGAGCAUGCGCAGAGUGCCUGGGAGCUGUAGGGCUUUGGUUUUGUGCUUACAAAAAUGUAGCAUUCAAAUGCCUGAAUUUAAGCUGUAAGAGUG